GCAAAUAGUUGCAAAAAAACUACUGCCUUCUAAGCAGUCGGUCACAGGUUCGAAUCCUGUCGCACCC
rnacentral:tRNA from 1 species